rnacentral:rRNA from 1 species
GACGAACGCUGGCGGCGUGCUUAACACAUGCAAGUCGAACGGAAAGGCCCUGCUUUUGUGGGGUGCUCGAGUGGCGAACGGGUGAGUAACACGUGAGUAACCUGCUCUUGACUUUGGGAUAACUUCAGGAAACUGGGGCUAAUACCGGAUAGGAGCCCCUGCAGCAUGGUGGGGGUUGGAAAGUUUCGGCGGUCGGGGAUGGACUCGCGGCUUAUCAGCUUGUUGGUGGGGGAGUGGCUUACCCAGCCUUUGACGGGUAGCCGGCCUGAGAGGGUGACCGGCCACCUUGGGACUGAGGUACGGCACAGACUCCUACGGGAGGCAACAGUGGGGAAUAUUGCACAAUGGGCGGCGGCCUGAUGCAGCAACGCCGCGUGCGGGAUGACGGUCUUCGGGUUGUAAACCGCUUUCGCCUGUGACGAAGCGUGAGUGACGGUAAUGGGUAAAGAAGCACCGGCUAACUACGUG